UACGGAGGGUGCAAGCGUUGUUCGGAAUGACUGGGCGUAAAGAGCACGUAGGCGGGUCUGAAAGUCUGCUGUGAAAUCCCGAGGCUUAACCUCGGAAUUGCAGUUGAAACUCCAGAUCUUGAAUGCUUAAGAGGGUGGUGGAAUUCCUGGUGUAGAAGUGAAAUUCGUAGAUAUCAGGAGGAACAUCAGAGGCGAAGGCGGCCACCUGGUAAGACAUUGACGCUGAGGUGCGAAAGCGUGGGUAGCAAACAGG
rnacentral:rRNA from 1 species